rnacentral:lncRNA from 1 species
AAGAAUUUAUAUAUCAGAAUUGGGCCAACUUGGGCCAAACAUAAAACAAUAGAAAAAAUGGGCUCAGAUAUGUUCUGGCCCAACAUACAUGAUAUACACGAUAUACAAAGAGUAUACAAUAAAUAUACACUACAAAUCAAUGUACGUGUCUAGGUUUUGAAGCUAGAUAAUCUUGUAGCUAAACACCCCCCCUCAAGUUGGAGGGGGAGACCACCUUCAACUUGACCAGCAAAGGAUGUAGGAUAGUGCCAGGUAGAGGCUUGGUGAGAAGGUCAGCCAGUUGACGAGAAGUAGGGACAUGGAAGAGAGUAAUGAGCCCACCAGCUAACAGAUCUCUCACAAAAUGACAAUCUACCUCGAUAUGCUUGGAACGCUCAUGAAAAACAGGAUUUUCGGCAAUAUGUAUAGCAGCCUGGUUGUCACAAAAAACAGAAAAGGGAAGAGAAACAGAAACACCAAUGUCAGUGAGCAAACAGGAAAGCCAAGACAAUUCAACUACUACCUUACUGAGAGCCCUAUACUCAGCUUCAGCAGAGGAUAAAGAAACUACAGGUUGUUUCUUGGACUUCCAACUAAUCAAGCAGCCUUCCAAAAGAACACAAAAACAGUAACAGACCUGUGAGUAUCUGGACAGACAGCCCAAUCACUAUCAGAAUAAGCAUGUAUAGAGAAAUUAGAACUGCAGAAUAUAAGAGACCCAAAUGCAUAGUUCCCUUAAGAUAUUUGAGGACAUGUAGUGUCGCAGUCACAUGAGGGACUCUGGGACACUUCAAAUAUUGACUCAGAUGCUGAACAGCAAAGCAGAUGUCAGGCCUGGUGUGAGUCAAAAAUAAGAGCUUACCAAUAAUGCUCCUAUAUUGAUCAGGGGAAGAGAAAAUGUCUCCAGAAUCAGCAUGGAGUUUUACAUUAAGAUCCAACGGACAAACAACAGGAGAAACAUUCAUACAGUCAAACUGAUGCAGUAGGUCAGAAACAUAUUUAUGCUGAUUAAGGAGCAUCCCACCAGGAACAACAGACAUCUCUAUGCCCAAAAAAUAAUGCAAAGACCCCAGGNNNNNNNNNNNNNNNNNNNNNNNNNNNNNNGGAGAAGAUGUCUCCAGAAUCAGCAUGGAGUUUUACAUUAAGAUCCAAAGGACAAACAACAGGAGAAACAUUCAUACAGUCAAACUGAUGCAGUAGGUCAGAAACAUAUUUAUGCUGAUUAAGGAGCAUCCCACCAGGAACAACAGACAUCUCUAUGCCAAAAAAUAAUGCAAAGACCCCAGGUCUUUAAUCCUGAAUUGAUCAUCCAUAAACAGCUUCAGGGAAGGAAGCUCAUCAUUGUCAUCCCCAGUAAUAAUAAUGUCAUCCACAUAGACUGCCACAAUAACCAGACAACCAGGUUGGCCUUUGAUAAACAGAGAAUAGUCAUUCAAAGAAUGAGUAUAUCCNNNN